CCCAGACAGCCAGGAUGUUGGCUUAGAAGCAGCCAUCAUUUAAAGAAAGCGUAAUAGCUCACUGGUCGAGUCGGCCUGCGCGGAAGAUGUAACGGGGCUAAACCAUGCACCGAAGCUGCGGCAGCGAACGUAUCACCCAAGACAACUUUACGGAGUUGACGAUUGACGGAGCGAAGCGACGUCAAAGCGUUCAUUAAAGUCGAGUUGGCUUAGGGAUACGUUCGUUGGGUAGGGGAGCGUUCUGUAAGCCUGUGAAGGUGUGUCGUGAGGCAUGCUGGAGGUAUCAGAAGUGCGAAUGCUGACAUAAGUAACGAUAAAGCGGGUGAAAAGCCCGCUCGCCGGAAGACCAAGGGUUCCUGUCCAACGUUAAUCGGGGCAGGGUGAGUCGACCCCUAAGGCGAGGCCGAAAGGCGUAGUCGAUGGGAAACGGGUUAAUAUUCCCGUACUUGGUGUUACUGCGAAGGGGGGACGGAGAAGGCUAUGUUGGCCGGGCGACGGUUGUCCCGGUUUAAGCGUGUAGGUGUGUGUUCCAGGUAAAUCCGGUUCACUUUAACACUGAGGCGUGACGACGAGGCACUACGGUGCUGAAGCAACAAAUGCCCUGCUUCCAGGAAAAGCCUCUAAGCAUCAGGUAACACGAAAUCGUACCCCAAACCGACACAGGUGGUCAGGUAGAGAAUACCAAGGCGCUUGAGAGAACUCGGGUGAAGGAACUAGGCAAAAUGGUGCCGUAACUUCGGGAGAAGGCACGCUGACACGUAGGUGA
rnacentral:rRNA from 2 species